UAAAAAGUAACAAAGGGUGUUUAGUGGAUGCCUUGGCAAUCAGAGGCGAUGAAAGGCGUGAAAGACUGCGAUAAGUCCGGGCGAGCCGUCAAUAUGCAUUGACCCCGGAAUUCCUGAAUGGGGAAACCCAAUCCUUUAUGGAUUAUCUUUGACUGAAUACAUAGGUCAAAGAGGCAAACGCGGAGAAGUGAAACAUCUCAGUAUCCGCAGGAAAAGAAAGCAAUAGCGAUUCCCUUAGUAGUGGCGAGCGAAAAGGGACCAGCCCAGAGACCGAAGAAUUAGUUAGCAAAAUGCAAUGGAAAGUGCAGCAAUAAUAGGUGAUAGCCCUGUAUGCGAAAACUAGUGUUUUGGUACAAGAGUAGGGCGGGACACGUGAAAUCCCGUUUGAAUAUGGGGGGACCUUCCUCCAAGGCUAAAUACUCCUGAUUGACCGAUAGUGAACAAGUACCGUGAGGGAAAGGUGAAAAGAACCCCGAAGGGGGAGUGAAAUAGACACUGAAACUGAAUACCUACAAGCUGUCAGAGCCGAGACGGCUUGAUUUAUGAUUUUUGCAUAAAUGGUGCGAAGAUAAAAUCACAUCAGUACGAGAAAGACCGAUGAAGCUGUAUGAUAUACAGCGAAGAGGUCUGACGAAGUAAUGUGCGAUUUUAUCCGCAUCGAAGACGAUGAAAAAUUUAAUUCAUAAUUACGACUUUUUAUUUGCAAGUAUUUUUAUACUUGCUGCAUAAAAAUUCUUGUUCUGUCUUUAAUUUUUUUGCAUCGCCAUUUACGCAAGAAUCACAAAUCAAGCCGUCGGGUGAUGGCGUACCUUUUGUAUAAUGAGCCAACGAGUUAUUAUAUUUAGCAAGCCUAAGCCGUUAGGUGUAAGCGAAGGGAAACCGAGUCUGAAUAGGGCGAUUUAGUUAAAUGUAAUAGACCCGAAGCGGGGUGAUCUAGGUAUGGGCAGGCUGAAGGCGGCGUAACAGUCGCUGGAGGGCCGAACACACUAAUGUGUCAAUAUUAGGUGAUGACCUGUGUCUAGGGGUGAAAAGCCAAUCGAACCCCGUUAUAGCUGGUUCUCCGCGAAAACUAUUGAGGUAGUGUCUCGCGCGUUUCUUAUUGGGGGUAAAGCACUGAAAUGGCUAGGGGGAGUAAAAUCUUACCAAACCAUAUCAAACUCUGAAUACCAAUAAGCCACAACGCGGGAAACAGUCCAUCGGUGCUAAGGUCGGUGGACGAGAGGGCAACAGCCCAGACCGCCAUCUAAGGUCCCCAAAUUAUCACUAAGUGGGAAAGUGAGUCGAGAUUCCAAAACAACCAGGAUGUUGGCUUGGAAGCAGCCAUCAUUUAAAGAAAGCGUAAUAGCUCACUGGUCUAAUUAAGAAUCACGGCAACUAAAAUGUAACGGGGCUAAAGUGAUAUACCGAAGAUGCGGGCGGCGACUUUGUCGCCGCGGUAGCGGAGCAUUCUGUAAGCCUGCGAAGCCGAAGGCGCGAGCCACGGUGGAGGUAUCAGAAGCGCGAAUGUUGGCAUGAGUAGCAGCUAAUCAAGGUGAGAAACCUUGACGCCGUAAGAGCAAGGGUUCCUAUCCAAUGUUAAUCAGGGUAGGGUGAGUCGACCCCUAAGGCGAGGCCGAAAGGCGUAGUCGAUGGGAAUCAGGUUAAUAUUCCUGAACUCGAUGGGAAGUGACGGAUUUAGUAAAUUGUUUUGCCUUAUUGGAUUGGCAAUGCAGUGAAUAAGUUCCGGGAAAUAGCCCCAUCUGCGUUUAAUCGCAAGAAUCGUACCCAGAACCAACACAGGUGCUCGAGUCGAGCAGACUAAGGCGGUUGAGAGAACUAUGUUGAAGGAACUAGGCAAAAUGCAUCCGUAACUUCGGGAUAAGGAUGACCUCCUUCAAGGCAACUUUAAUGAGGUGACACAAACCAGGUGGGGGCGACUGUUUACUUAAAACCCAGGUCUCUGCUAAAUCGUAUAAGAUGAUGUAUAGGGACUGACGCCUGCCCAGUGCUGGAAGGUUAAGCUGAGGAGUGCAAGCUCUGAUGUGAAGCCCCAGUAAACGGCGGCCGUAACUCUAACGGUCCUAAGGUAGCGAAAUUCCUUGUCGGGUAAGUUCCGACCCGCAUGAAUGGCGUAACGAUCUCCACACUGUCUCCAACAUAGACUCAGCGAAAUUGAAUUCUCGGUGAAAAUGCCGGGUACCCGCAGCUAGACGGAAAGACCCUAUGAAGCUUUACUGCAGUUUCGUAUUGGCACUAGGACACAUUUGCGUAGGAUAGGUGGGACGCUUUGAAGAGCAGGUUUCGGCUUGCUUGGAGCGGUUGGUGAAAUACCACCCUUGUGUGUUUUAGUGUCUAACCCGCGCUCUUGAAGCAGGGCGGGGGACAAUGCGUGAUGGGCAGUUUGACUGGGGUGGUCGCCUCCCAAAUUGUACCGGAGGCGCGCGAAGGUUUGCUCAGGCUGGUCGGAAAUCAGCUGGUGAGUGCAAUGGCAAAAGCAAGCCUGACUGCAAGGAGGACACUCCGAGCAGAGACGAAAGUCGGUCAUAGUGACCUGGUGGUUCCGCAUGGAAGGGCCAUCACACACGGAUAAAAGCUACUCUAGGGAUAACAGGCUGAUGCUGCCCAAGCGUCCAUAGCGACGGCAGUGUUUGGCACCUCGAUGUCGACUCAUCGCAUCCUGGGGCUGGAGCAGGUCCCAAGGGUAUGGCUGUUCGCCAUUUAAAGCGGUACGUGAGUUGGGUUAAUAACGUCGUGAGACAGUUAGGUCCCUAUCUACUGUGGGCGUUGGAUAUUUGAGCGAACUUGACCUUAGUACGAGAGGACCGGGUCGAACGAACCCCUGGUGUACCUGUUGUCGCGCCCGCGGCAUCGCAGGCUAGCUAUGUUCGGAACAGAUAACCGCUGAAAGCAUCUAAGCGGGAAGCUGGUCGCAAGAUAAGAUAUCCCCAUGAGUUCAGUCCUAGACAAGGACAUUGAUAGGUUGCAGGUGCAAGUCCGGUGACGGAUGUAGCUUAGCAAUACUAAUCGAACCAUUGACUUUUUUAU
rnacentral:rRNA from 1 species